CUUCUCUGGGUCCAGGUGAGGCCUGCUUCCCUUCCAGAAAGGACAGUCACAGGUGUGUCUACCGUCCUGGGGGCCUGCCCGCUGGCCCGCUAGGCCUAGUCACCGUUCCUUGUUUCACAAUUUGAGAAAAAUCUUAUAAAAAGCCCUGAGUCGCUUUUUGUUUUCAGUUGUUUUGUUUUUUUAAAUAAGUUUGACUUGGAGUUCCUGUUUUGAGUCAGUGGUAAUGCACCUGACUAGUCUUCACGACGACACGGGUUCGAUCCCUGGCCUCGCUCAGUGGGUUAACGAUCCAGCAUUGCCAUGAGGUGUGGCGCAGGUUGCAGACACGGCUGGGAUCUGGUGUUGCUGUGGCGUAGACCAGAAGCUGUAGCUCCAAUUGGAUCCCUAGCCUGGGAACCCCCAUGUGCCGCGGAUGAGGCCCUGAAGGAGGAAAAAAAAAAAAAAAAAGGCAAAAAUUAAAAAAGGUCAACUUAGAAUUCAUGUAGCAAACUUGGGGAAUCAAAACACGGGGAUCUAGAACUUUCCGUCUUUUCCUUCUUCCGCAUCCUCCUGAGGUCGGAGGUGUGCUUGGGUCUCUGGUCCGUAUCUGCCCACCUUCUCCCAAGACCUUGGUCCCCAGCCUGACACACAUCUUCUCUGUCCGGAUGGAGUUGCUUAGCCUCGUGGAAAAUCCAGAGGCCCAGGCACGGGGUUCCCGGGAGGCCUUUGGGUACAGAGGCCCUCCCAGACAGGUUGGGCAGGCCAGGUAGCCCGCCCAGAGUCCCCGGGAGGCUUUGCAGACCAGCCUUUCUCUGGUCGGGUCUAGAGAAGCAGCAGGGUGUCAUUCAGUUGGGAACAAGAAAGUGCGGCUUUGAUUUCAGGUUCUGAGAGGGACCUGAUUGUGGCCUUGGGCAGGGUGACGGCGUCUCCCGAGCCCGUCCUUAGGCCUCAGCCUCUGCUCGUCCGCAGGAGGGUGGGGGUGCGAGGGAGGCCGGUGCCCCGGCAGCCCCACCUCCCUGCUCUCCUUCCUGGGAGCCGGAACCGGGUCAAGCUUUGAGGUUUUUCCUCUUUGCUGCUUCUCUGCUCUGCUCUUGAGGCUUUAAUCAUCUUUCUCAAAUCACUUCUUACUUUUAAAAAAUGACUCUUGAGGGUUUCCCUGGUAGCUCAGCAGGUUAAGGAUUGGGCAUUGUCACUACCGUGGCUUGGGCUCAAUCCCUGCAUGCUGUGGGUGUGGUCCAAAAAAUUAAAAAAAAAAAAACGAUUCUGAAUCUAAACUGUACAUUUACUUGAGAAAGCUUUAUUGGCUGUAAUUGCCACACAUUUUCCUGAAAUUGCUUUUUUGCACUUUGUAGUUAUUUGUUUGUAUACUUGGAUAUGAUUUUGGGGGGGGCUUUUUUUUUUCUUGCUUUUCAGGGCCGAACCUGCUGCAUAUGGAGGCUCCCAGGCUAGGGGCUGAAUCGGAGCUGUAGCCGCCGGCCUACACCACAGCCAGAGCAAUGCGGGAUCUGAGCCGUGUCUGUGACCUACACCACAGCUCACGGCAACGCCAGAUCCUCCAUCCAGGAUCUAAGGCCAGGGAUUGAACCCGCGUUCUCAUGGAUGCUAGUCAGGCUCAUUACUGCUGGGAACUUCCUUGGGCUGGAUACCGCUGAAGGAGCUGCCUGUGCUGCCGACGCCUUGUCUCUUCCAUUUUUCUAUUAAACAGCUAAUGAACCAAUAAUUUUUAAAUCCUAACAAAAAUAGUAGAAGAUACACAAACGCACCGUGAUGGAACCUGAGAGUCACUGCCACUCACUGUCUUUCCAGCCAGAGCCCCACGCCCCCACCCAGGGCUAAGGGUCCUGGGAGGACCCCAUCCCGCUGGGUCCCGGGCCCUGGAGCCCUGGGCUGGGGAGCAGCGCCCACUCCCCCCCCCCGCGAAGCAUCACCCGGAAACCUUCCAGAGCCAGCCCCCCCCUGGUUUCCAGGCCUUCCCAGCCUCCAUUCCAGGUUCGAGGCCCUCGAGCUAGGGUCGGGCUGGGGUCCCCGUCGCUCACCAUUGAGACUUGAAGACCAGACCCGCGGGCAUCUCCCUUUCUCGUCUCUGCUCCGUCCUGUCCUGUGCUUGGGGUGCGACGGUCCCUUGUGGCUGUCCACACUCGGUUUCCGACGUCGCUAGAGCGUCCAGUGCGUCCUAAGGCUUCCUGGAAGACAGCGGCCAACGCGUGCACGCGGCUUUCAUCUGCCCUCCUCAAGUGGAGCUGCUGCAGAAUUUAAACCCUAACGUGCAUUUUAACGCUGUAACAAAAGUGCUUGUAAACUCUGCGAGGACAGCGCGGGCCCCACGGAAGGGGACAGAAGACAGGAAGCGCCGGGGUUCUUUAGCCAAAUGGAAAGUCUCACAAAGAGCCUGGGGCGGGUCCUGGCCACAGGCCCCACUUCCUCCACCCCCAACCCCUACACGCACGCAUGCACGUGCUUGGCAAAAUCCACCACUGAAUCGGCAAAUGUGACUCACUUUACAGGACGUAUAAUUCACUCUGGGGGAUGAGUGUGUUUUGCGUCUCAUUAGGCGUCUGUCUGGAGGAUGUUGCCUCACAGGGCGAGGUGUCAAGAAUUAGUCACGAGGCUGGUUUAGGAACAAGCUGCUGAGACGGGCUCCACCUGUCAGAAGCACAAGGCAUCUCAGACAAAACUCCACCACGGAAUGUUCAUUUGAUACAUUCGAUUGUACAUCACUUUCUAGCUAAACGAUACUGACUUGUCUACUAGUAGAUUCUGCUUCGAAAUAAAUACAUUUAGUGAAAUUGCCAU
rnacentral:lncRNA from 1 species